rnacentral:sRNA from 7 species
AUGUGCCGCUCGCACACCGCUGUGCCUGCGCGCUGUUCUCCGCCACCCGAUGGAUGUUCGUUGCCUGUUGGUC